CGGAAGACUCUUCUUUCGGAAAAAUUCUGGAAGACGUCACUCCGAAAAACUCCUAGAAGAACCUUCUUCCGGAAGAAGAAGGUGGGCCUCCCGAAGAACUCCAGAAUACGUUCUGCAAGGACGUGUCCCGGAAUUUUUUCGAAAGAAGGGUCUUCUG
rnacentral:pre_miRNA from 1 species